GACGAACGCUGGCGGCGUGCCUAAUACAUGCAAGUAGAACGCACAGUUUAUACCGUAGCUUGCUACACCAUAAACUGUGAGUUGCGAACGGGUGAGUAACGCGUAGGUAACCUGCCUGGUAGCGGGGGAUAACUAUUGGAAACGAUAGCUAAUACCGCAUAAUAUUAAUUAUUGCAUGAUAAUUGAUUGAAAGAUGCAAUUGCAUCACUACCGGAUGGACCUGCGUUGUAUUAGCUAGUAGGUGAGGUAACGGCUCACCUAGGCGACGAUACAUAGCCGACCUGAGAGGGUGAUCGGCCACACUGGGACUGAGACACGGCCCAGACUCCUACGGGAGGCAGCAGUAGGGAAUCUUCGGCAAUGGACGAAAGUCUGACCGAGCAACGCCGCGUGAGUGAAGAAGGUUUUCGGAUCGUAAAGCUCUGUUGUAAGAGAAGAACGGGUGUGAGAGUGGAAAGUUCACACUAUGACGGUAUCUUACCAGAAAGGGACGGCUAACUACGUG
rnacentral:rRNA from 1 species